rnacentral:rRNA from 1 species
GCAGUCGAGCGAACAGAAGGGAGCUUGCUCCCGGAUGUUAGCGGCGGACGGGUGAGUAACACGUGGGUAACCUGCCUGUAAGACUGGGAUAACUCCGGGAAACCGGAGCUAAUACCGGAUAGUUCCUUGAACCGCAUGGUUCAAGGAUGAAAGACGGUUUCGGCUGUCACUUACAGAUGGACCCGCGGCGCAUUAGCUAGUUGGUGGGGUAAUGGCUCACCAAGGCGACGAUGCGUAGCCGACCUGAGAGGGUGAUCGGCCACACUGGGACUGAGACACGGCCCAGACUCCUACGGGAGGCAGCAGUAGGGAAUCUUCCGCAAUGGACGAAAGUCUGACGGAGCAACGCCGCGUGAGUGAUGAAGGUUUUCGGAUCGUAAAGCUCUGUUGUUAGGGAAGAACAAGUGCGAGAGUAACUGCUCGCACCUUGACGGUACCUAACCAGAAAGCCACGGCUAACUACGUGCCAGCAGCCGCGGUAAUACGUAGGUGGCAAGCGUUGUCCGGAAUUAUUGGGCGUAAAGGGCUCGCAGGCGGUUUCUUAAGUCUGAUGUGAAAGCCCCCGGCUCAACCGGGGAGGGUCAUUGGAAACUGGGAAACUUGAGUGCAGAAGAGGAGAGUGGAAUUCCACGUGUAGCGGUGAAAUGCGUAGAGAUGUGGAGGAACACCAGUGGCGAAGGCGACUCUCUGGUCUGUAACUGACGCUGAGGAGCGAA